rnacentral:rRNA from 1 species
UACGAAGGGGGCUAGCGUUGCUCGGAAUCACUGGGCGUAAAGCGCACGUAGGCGGAUUGUUAAGUCAGGGGUGAAAUCCUGGAGCUCAACUCCAGAACUGCCUUUGAUACUGGCGAUCUCGAGUCCGGGAGAGGUGAGUGGAACUGCGAGUGUAGAGGUGAAAUUCGUAGAUAUUCGCAAGAACACCAGUGGCGAAGGCGGCUCACUGGCCCGGUACUGACGCUGAGGUGCGAAGCGUGGGAGCAACAGG